rnacentral:rRNA from 1 species
CUUAGUGCGAACGGGUGAGUACGCGUGAGAACCUGCCUUCAGUGGGGGACACAGUUGGAAACGACUGCUAAUACCGCAUAAUGUCAUUUGGGGGCAUCCCUGGAUGACCAAARAUUUAUUGCUGAAAGAUGGUCUCGCGUYUGAUUAGCUAGAUGGCGGGGUAACGGCCCACCAUGGCGACGAUCAGUAGCCGGUCUGAGAGGAUGAACGGCCACAUUGGGACUGAGAUACGGCCCAGACUCCUACGGGAGGCAGCAGUGGGGAAUAUUGGGCAAUGGGGGAAACCCUGACCCAGCAACGCCGCGUGAAGGAAGAAGGCCUUCGGGUUGUAAACUUCUUUUACCAGGGACGAACAAAUGACGGUACCUGGAGAAAAAGCAACGGCUAACUACGUGCCAGCAGCCGCGGUAAUACGUAGGUUGCAAGCGUUGUCCGGAUUUACUGGGUGUAAAGGGCGUGUAGGCGGAGAUGCAAGUUGGGAGUGAAAUCCCGGGGCUCAACCCCGGAACUGCUUCCAAAACUGUAUCCCUUGAGUAUCGGAGAGGCAAGCGGAAUUCCUAGUGUAGCGGUGAAAUGCGUAGAUAUUAGGAGGAACACCAGUGGCGAAGGCGGCUUGCUGGACGACAACUGACGCUGAGGCGCGAAAGCGUGGGGAGCAAACAGGAUUAGAUACCCUGGUAGUCCACGCUGUAAACGUUAAUACUAGGUGUGGGAGGACUGACCCCUUSSGUGCCGCAGUUAACACAAUAA